AUUGAACGCUGGCGGCAUGCCUUACACAUGCAAGUCGAACGGUAACGGGCCUUCGGGUGCCGACGAGUGGCGAACGGGUGAGUAAUACAUCGGAACGUGCCCGAUCGUGGGGGAUAACGAGGCGAAAGCUUUGCUAAUACCGCAUACGAUCUACGGAUGAUAGCAGGGGACCGCAAGGCCUUGCGCGGACGGAGCGGCCGAUGGCAGAUUAGGUAGUUGGUGGGAUAAAAGCUUACCAAGCCGACGAUCUGUAGCUGGUCUGAGAGGAUGAUCAGCCACACUGGGACUGAGACACGGCCCAGACUCCUACGGGAGGCGGCAGUGGGGAAUUUUGGACAAAGGGCGCAAGCCUGAUCCAGCCAUGCCGCGUGCAGGAUGAAGGCCUUCGGGUUGUAAACUGCUUUUGUACGGAACGAAAAGCCUUCUUUUAAUACAGGAGGGUCAUGACGGUACCGUAAGAAUAAGCACCGGCUAACUACGUG
rnacentral:rRNA from 1 species